GAGUGUUACUGAAUAGAAGCGUUACUGAAGGGAGAGAAAACUGAGGAGCGUACAUUCAACCCUAGCUUCCUCCCAUUUUCUCUCUCCUUCGAUCUUCUUCAUCUUCCUCAAAUCAUCUCCUUCCUCAAUCCUCUCCUCGAUCUUCUUCAUCUUCUGCAACAUGGGUUUUAGGAUUUCUAGGAAAAAAAUUUCAUUGGAGGAGAGAGAUUCAAAUAAGAAACUUUCGUGAUAAAUAAUCAAAUUUAGAGGUUUAGGGAAGGGGAUUCGAUUAUAGAUAAGAAAAAAUUGAAGGUCGAUAAUGGAGGAGAGAGAAAACGAUGGUGGGUGAUGGCUCCUUGGAGGCGGCGGCGAUGGCGGCUCACCUUCAAUUUCAUCCUUUCAGGUUUAAUCUCAAGAUACCGAGGUGAGGUGUUUUUUUUUUUUUAAUAAAAAUCGAAGCUUUCUACAAUCUACAAGAUAUCCAGAGCACGAAUUUGGUAUUCUGCAAUUUCUGAUUUUGGAAUUCAUCUUUUCUGGUAAUUUCAUCAUUACUCCCUCAAUUAAUUUUUUGUUUUCCCUUACUUUUUUGUGUGUGUUAAUUUCCUAAUUUUUUAGUUUGAUGUUUAAUUGUGCAUUUGGGGUUCAUGGAAAAUUGUGAUUAAUUUUCACCAUUAGCUCAUUUUUAGAACACAGGUAAUGUUUGAACUUGGUAUUUGGUUGUUCUAAAAUUACUGUGGUGAUCCGCUGCAUUCAACCAUGAAUGUGGAGUCAUUUCGCUGCCAUCUUUGACUUCUUCCAUUGAUUUCAAACUAGGCAAUGUUUAAUAUACUACGUGUAAUUUAAAAUCCGAACUCUAAAUCAUACUAUUAUGAACAAAUCAAUUGGAAGUAGAUAAAAUUAUGCAUAGAAGAAACUGAAUUUUCAGCAUAUGAAUUUUAUUUUAUAACUAUUUUGCUUUAAGAUAUUUUAAUUGUCAAGUACUCAAGUCAACCAAAUGGAUGGUCCUGAUCUAGGUAUCAUUUCAAUCUCUUUUGUUUACUGAAGCUAAAAAGUGACGCAGAUUUUGAUUAAGCUAACUUCUAGGUAUCAUUUCAAUAUCUUAAAGAAAUGUAUUAAUUUAGUUGGUUAAUUCUUUUUUGUGAGUUUAGAAAGGUAUUUAUUUAUUUGGUUAAUUCUUGGAUAUUAAUGGUCUGCUAAUUUCACACGAGUAUUUUUUUUUAUCGUGGUUAUUAUGAUUGUGAUCAUGAUAUUCUGUAUUUGCUUCUUUGGAUGAAAUUCUAAUACAAUUGAUCAAUUGAAAAUUUGAAAUGAAAUAUUUCAGAUUUUAAGCAAAAGGUGAGAACUUUUUCCCCUAAUUAACUACUCUGUUUGUUCGAUUCUUAUCAUUUGUUACCAUGAUUAUAAACUGGGUAAUUCAUUAUGAAAUCUCGAAUUCCUGAUGUGAAUUUUUGUGCGUUUGAUUUUGUUUUGUUUAUGGUAGCUGAAAAGUGGCGCAAAUUUUGAUUAACCCAACUUCUAGGUGUGUUGGGAGUCUGUUGGAUUGCUGCUGGUUUUUUUGCUGAGUGCAGGUUGGUAGCGAUCUGUUUUACUGUUUUCAGAUUGGGCACAACUUCUUCUUUUGGUUGUUUCAGGACUACGGUUAUGCUGUUUGUUUUGGUGUAUGCAGGGGGUUUGUUUAAUAUGGUUUAAAUUGGUAAAUUUAGCCACCUUAUGCCUUUACAGUCCAGUAGUUACAUUGCCAUUGUUGAUGGUGCU